rnacentral:rRNA from 1 species
UACAGAGGGUGCAAGCGUUGUUCGGAAUUAUUGGGCGUAAAGAGCUCGUAGGCGGUUUGUCGCGUCUGUUGUGAAAACCCGAGGCUCAACCUCGGGCCUGCAGUGGGUACGGGCAGACUAGAGUGUGGUAGGGGAGACUGGAAUUCCUGGUGUAGCGGUGGAAUGCGCAGAUAUCAGGAGGAACACCAAUGGCGAAGGCAGGUCUCUGGGCCACAACUGACGCUGAGGAGCGAAAGCGUGGGGAGCGAACAGG